GAGAUACCCUUUAUGGGGCAGGGCUUGCUUCAGUGGGGCUUUGGUGCUCACUGAGUCUUCCCCUUGAGUGUGUUUCU
rfam:Myotis brandtii contig324941, whole genome shotgun sequence.